AUAAAGAUGGCAGAGAAAAUGUAUUAGGUUUAAGCCCUAAAGACGAAGAUUAAUUCUUUUCUUUAUA
rnacentral:tRNA from 1 species